rnacentral:rRNA from 1 species
GAUGAACGCUGGCGGUGUGCCUAAUACAUGCAAGUCGAGCGAACAGACGAGGAGCUUACUCCUCUGACGUUAGCGGCGGACGGGUGAGUAACACGUGGAUAACCUACCUAUAAGACUGGGAUAACUUCGGGAAACCGGAGCUAAUACCGGAUAACAUGUUGAACCGCAUGGUUCAACAGUGAAAGACGGUCUUGCUGUCGCUUAUAGAUGGAUCCGCGUCGCAUUAGCUAGUUGGUAAGGUAACGGCUUACCAAGGCAACGAUGCGUAGCCGACCUGAGAGGGUGAUCGGCCACACUGGAACUGAGACACGGUCCAGACUCCUACGGGAGGCAGCAGUAGGGAAUCUUCCGCAAUGGGCGAAAGCCUGACGGAGCAACGCCGCGUGAGUGAAGAAGGUCUUCGGAUCGUAAAACUCUGUUAUUAGGGAAGAACAAAUGUGUAAGUAACUAUGCACGUCUUGACGGUACCUAAUCAGAAAGCCACGGCUAACUACGUG